rnacentral:rRNA from 1 species
UGGGGAAUAUUGCGCAAUGGGGAAAGACCCUGACGCAGCAACGCCGCGUGAAGGAAGAAGGCCUUCGGGUUGUAAACUUUUGUCCUAUGGGAAGAAUCGAUGACGGUACCAUAGGAGGAAGCCACGGCUAACUACGUGCCAGCAGCCGCGGUAAUACGUAGGUGGCGAGCGUUGUCCGGAUUUACUGGGUGUAAAGGGCGCGUAGGCGGGUGGAUAAGUCAGAUGUGAAAUACCGGAGCUCAACUCCGGGGCUGCAUUUGAAACUGUUCAUCUUGAGUGCAGGAGAGGUAAGUGGAAUUCCUAGUGUAGCGGUGAAAUGCGUAGAUAUUAGGAGGAACACCAGUGGCGAAGGCGACUUACUGGACUGUAACUGACGCUGAGGCGCGAAAGCGUGGGGAGCAAACAGGAUUAGAUACC